UACGGGGGGGGCAAGCGUUGUUCGGAAUUACUGGGCGUAAAGGGCGCGUAGGCGGCCUGCUAAGUCACACGUGAAAUCCCUCGGCUCAACCGGGGAACUGCGUGUGAUACUGGCGGGCUUGAAUUCGGGAGAGGGAUGUGGAAUUCCAGGUGUAGCGGUGAAAUGCGCAGAUAUCAGGAGGAACACCAGUGGCGAAGGCGGUGCUCUGGGCCGGAACUGACGCUGAGGAGCGAAAGCGUGGGGAGCAAACAGG
rnacentral:rRNA from 1 species